CACACACACACACAAGCGGAAAAAAUGGAGAGAUGAAAGGAUGAACAUGGAAGAACAGCGUUUUAUGUUGUUUAAUUUUGUUUGUUUUGAUGUGUGUGCCUUUCCUUCGCUUCUAUAUGCUGU
rnacentral:ribozyme from 1 species